rnacentral:rRNA from 1 species
AGUGAACGCUGGCGGUAGGCCUAACACAUGCAAGUCGAACGGCAGCACAGAAAGUGCUUGCUCUUCCCGAUGGCGAGUGGCGGACGGGUGAGGAGUACAACGGACUCUACAUUUUCGUAGGGGCUAACGUAGGGAAGCUUACGCCAGUAUAGCAUCCGACCUACGGGUGAAAGCAGGGAAUCUUCUCACUUUGGGCGAAUGUCUGAGCCGAUGUCGGAUUUGCUAGUUGGCGGGGUAAAGGCCCCCCCAGGCGACGAUCCGUAGCUGGGGUGUGAGGGUGAUCAGGCACACUGAGACUGAGAGACGGUACUGACUCUGACGGGAGGCAGCGAUUGCGAAUAGUGGACGAAGUGCGGAAUCCUGAUCCAUCCAUACCGCGUGGGUGAAGAAGGCCUUCGUGGUGUAAAGCGCUUUUGUGGGUAAAGAAAAGCAGCAGGUUAAUACCCCGCUGAUGUGACGGUACCCGAAGAAGAAGCACCGGCUAACUUCGUG